rnacentral:lncRNA from 1 species
AAGGCUUAGCAUCAACUUCCGUAUCUCCCCGGUGAGCAACAAUUAUUAAAUCUCGCAUUUCAAAAAAAUCAUAAGUCAUUUUCAAAUAAGAACAAUAAAAUAUUAUUCUCUGGCUCACAGGGGUAUUUUCGUAAUUUUUCAUCAAAAAUCUCAAAACUUGCUAAAAAUGUAGUAGGUAAGCAGAAAAUAUAUAUUUAAUGAUUUAAAAACAAUUAAGUAUCUAAAACGUUCAUUUGAAAGCAAAUUGUUGACAACUAGUACUAUUCAAAAAUAAUAAAUAAAAUAUCCUAUUUUCUCAUAAAAUAAAUUUUUAUAGAAAUAUUCGUAAAUAAUUUUUCGCACAUGAAAGUAAAGUAAAAAUUGUAUGAAUAGAAAUACAGAUAACCAAAAUAUAAGUUUUGAUCUGCAAUGACACGUGGGCUCCAAUUGACCA